CUUUUAGCUGUACCUAAAAAGUUAACUGUUUGUGAAAAAAAAAGUUUCUAUGAAAUGAAAAUUCUGCGAAACAUUACAUUCUAUGAAACAAUUGUCGAUGAAAGAAGAGGUCACCCAUUUUAUUGCAUGUGUGUUUUUGUAAAAUCCCCUGUAUAUAUCCAAUAUAAAUGUUACAAUAAUUAAAAAGCGAUCUUAUGAAGUGUCUGAUCAUAAUUUAUUUCGAGUAAAGUGCAAUACGCGAUCUCAUCGUCAUAUUGUUUUUGUCUGGCAAAAUCUUUUCUGGGUAGUUGUACGCUACACUUUUUCAAUUUUUGGAAUUUGUAUAUUAUUUUUAUUCAGAAUCACGAGCGUUUUCGAUGCUAUUAGGAAAGAAAAGUCUCCCAAAAUUUCCGUACAUUUUUCGAACCUUCCAUUCCGUUGCCGUCAUACAAAAUAUAUAAGAAAUUGUAACAAAAUGGUAGUAAAACUCUUUGGUAUCUUUGUUUUUCCUAUUUGGAUUGAAGGAGCUCGUUAUUCUGAUUAGAAAUAACAUAAAAAUGUCCAAAUUGAAUACGAAAGUGUAUUGUAAAAAAUGUCCCUUCUACGGUGCCUCUGAUUCUAACGUAGUGCCAGUUUUAUAAAUCGAUGUCUAUUUAUAAAGAUACCUAUGAUUAAGUAUAUAGAUGGGGAGUUGAGCGUUUUCAAAAAAAAUACUGAAAUCCUAAAUCUUACAAAUCUGCGGCCGUAGCACGGUCGCAUUUUAAUCACCUGUGCCUGUCACGUUCUAACAUGUAAGUGCGAAAGUGACAGGUGAUAAAAAUGGAUCCAUGCUGCCACCGUGCACCGCUGGACUUUCUUGGACUCAUUCUACUCAGAAUCGCCACCAUUCUCUAUCCUACCCUUAAAAAAAGAUGUUACAUUACGUUACCUGAAAAAAAUUUUUUUUCACUUAUAGUACGUGAGAUACUAAAAUUUCCAUACAAAUUUUUGGUAGAUUUUUUUAGCAUCAGGAUCAAAUAUGCUAGUGUGUGUUGGAAAAACCAAAAAAGAUCAGGAUACAGAUCCUGAUCAGGAUUUCAGUAUUUUUCUUGGAAAACGCUCAAAUUGUUGGUAAAAAAACGAGUUCUAAGUCUGAAUUUGAAAAACUUGAUUUAGUUUUACUACACUACGAUUGAGUUGUUGGACUCGGGUGUUUUUUGAAAUGUAUCUCAGGGCGGCCGCGGGUGCCAUUGUGGGGUAAAAUCCGUCGCACCGCGUCCGCGCCAGUUAGCGUUGCUAAUAUUAUUUUUCGUUAACCCGCUUCGUGCAACCGCGGCAGCUAGUGGUUGCCCUCAGUCUUGAGUCUUGAGACCUAGAGUUAAAUACUUUAUCUAAAUGUAUGUCUAGCUCUUUUUUGAAGGUUGGUCUUUCUAUUAAACUAUGUUUUCCAAUAUUUUAAUAAAUCAUAUAAAGAUAAACGCAAUUGAGUUUUAACUAGAAGUUAGACUGAAUAAAGUUACAGUAUAAAACACUAAGUCGAGUUUUAAAGACUCUUAAAACUUGAGUCUUUGCCAACGCCAGGCGAGCACUGUCAAGUGGCAAUGAAGUAUAGGAGGUAAAGGUCGCCUAUUGCGAUGGAGUUCGUCUGAGCUAACAUAUAUACAGGUAACAUAUAAUAUAUGUGGCUUUCCAUAGAGAUUCUUAUGUUUCAUGUCCAUAAGGAGACUGAUGGAAAGGUCCUUAUGCACAUGAUUCUCAUGAAACCAGUAUGGAAAGCCACAUAUAUAUAUAUGAAAUGACAGUGCGGAGAUGCCACCAUAAAUGUCAGUUCAGUUUUCUUCAAAAAUGGCUUCCAUCAAAUGUAUGAUGACUUCGCCAAAGUCAAAGUGUGCUCGUAGAGCGUGACGUUGUUCGUUAGUUGCUUUCAGUAAAGUGAUAGUUGGACUUUAUAAACAGCCAAGAUAGAUUGCAGGAUGUUGACUGAAGAAUCGUUAAUCGCGUUUCCAGAUUAUUGUUCAUUGGCCAAGUUAGUUUGCAUAAUAAACUAUAAAUAUUACACUUUCAGCUACAUUAAUGAGCAAGGAACUAAAUAAUAUUCUUCAGACGACUUGCCAUUUUGAAGUUGAAACGUCAUAUUUUCGUAGAUUUGGCGUUUAUGGUGGCCCUCCCACACUCAGUCACUCCAGUCUAUGAAUUAGCUUAGUCGAGCGUUUUCUAAAAAAAAACUGAUUCUCACAAAUCCUGAUCUUUUUGGGUUAUUCCUACUCAGAAUCAUUAGCAUUCAAUCUUGAUGCAAUAAAAUGUCCCAAAAAUUUGUAUGGAAAUUUUAGUUUCCACUACGUCACGUACACACAAUUUCACACUAAAAUGUGACGUAAUGGGACGAACAUUUAUAGUUUUAUUGUGCUAGGAUCAAGGAUGGAGAAUGCUGACGAUUCUGAGUAGAAUGAGCCCAAGAAAGACUUGAUUUGUAAGAAUCAAGUUUCAGCCAAUUUUUUUAGAAAACGCCCAGUCCCACUACUUGUCUCUCUAGGAACAGGGAAAAUAAUGGUACAGAGGUUGUAUUAUUCAUGUAGGUAUUUCCCUUUUUAAAAUGCUUUGUAUUAUAUAGAUGGAAUCGGACAUAUUCUUAUAUUGAAGAUAUUAUAUUAAAUUAUGAAAAUUA